GUACAAAGCAAACUUCUAAUGCACUGCUGGUUUACAUUUCCUGUAUUUUCAGUCUAAACAAAAAUAAAAAGAACAAAACAGCUAAAAUGAUGAGGGAAAGCACAGAUCAUUCCUAAACAGUCAAUUCUAGAGCCAGUCCUUCAGUUCAAGAAUAACUCAACAGCCUAGAGAGAAGAAAAUAAGAAGCUAUAGUGAACAAAAGAAGAAAAAUGAAAAGGUGACCACCAGGAGAAUGAAGUAUAUUGGAGAAGUAAGUAUCCUUGUAAAAUCUCUUUUAAAAUGAUAAUUAUCAUAUCAAUAACUAUUAUUAUUCUUCAUCAUCAUUAUUUUAAUUAUCAUCAUCAUUAUUUUAAGAGUAGGAGCCAGGAAAAAAUCCAAAAUGGUUAAGCAAUUUGUCAGAGUUCAUAAAUUCAGACUUACACUAGUUAAUAUAGAGAAAGAGAAGUAGAAAAACUACUUCUAAAUCAACAAAUACCUGAUACCUUAUUUAACUCCUUGAAAUUUUUAGGUUUUCCUGAUGGUUACUUUAAGUGAAAAAUGAGCAUUAGAUUUAUUAAAGUUACAUGAUACUAUGUUUGUUUCUUACUCUAUAAGAAAUGUUGAUAAAUUUUUAGUUCCUGAACUCAAUAAAUAAAGAUUGAAUACCUUCUCCAUCAGAGGCACCCUUAGCAGUAUAUGGGCGACAAACUUACAUAGGUUAGUAACUGUCAUAGGAGCUUACAAUCUAGUAGAAGACUGAAACAGAAUGAAUAAUGUGUUUAAAUUACAUGGACUAUUUGGGUAGAGUCUAGUGCAGAGACUGCCAGUUGUCCUUCAAUAAUUCUCCUCCCCUUCUGUUUGUCUGGACAUAUAUGGCCACCCAGAAUAAAGACCACAUUUCUCAGCCACCCUAGUGGCUUAGUAUUGCCAUCUGGCUAAGUUCUAGACAACAGGAUGUAAGAGUAAAUGUCUGUGAUGGCUUCUAGUAACCUUCCUAAGAGACAGGUGAUACAUGCUGUCUGUCCCUUCUUUCCCAGUCCCCCAUCCUACUGUUUAAAAUGUGGAUAUAAUGACUGGAGCUGCAUCCUUGACCCUGAAGGAAAGGGCCAUAUCCUAGGGAUGUAAGGUAGAAAGUCCAAAGGUGUCUUGGUCCCCAAGGUCUUUGUGGAGCACAGCUACAGCACCGAGCCUGAGCUGGCUACCUCUGGGCUUUUACAGGAGAGAGUAAUAAUACUGUGUUCUUGUUUAAGCUAUUUUUAUUUUGGGUUUUCAUGAUCCACAGUUAAGCCUAAUCCUAAGUGAUACGGUGUAACAAUGCAAGCACCACACGUGUGGAGAAGAUGGACAGGUAGCACCUAAAUGGAGUGGAAUAGGGAAGAGGUAGCAUUAGAGAAAUGAAUUCACAGUUGGUUCAGAAUUUUUAAAGGAGAGACAUCAGGAAUGAAAGGUAGAGUAUUCCAGGCAGGAAAAAACAAAACAAAACGAAACAGUAUAAAACACAUUGCUGACAUGGAAGAGUUCUAUGUGUAACUGGGAAACACUAAAUAGUUACAGAUUGUCAAGAAUAAAAUGAUGAUUUCAGGCUGAAAAUGUUAGGCUAGGACAGAUAGUGAAAGAUUUUGAAAGUGUAAUACAAGGAAUAUGGAUCUCAUUCUUUUACUGAUGGGAAUAUUAUAGUGUCCUUUAGAAUGUGCCUCAGAGCUCCAAUUGUAGAAAGAGUAGCUGACCAAUGUCUCAAGUUGCUGUGCUCUGGAAGCCAUCAACAAGUUUGCACUGAGGUCACCUCUACCAGGGUUGAUCCCAGAGAAAAAGACUGAGCACACUAGGGACACUAAAGUAGGCCUAAUCCUGGGAGGCCCAGUAUUCUUCUCACAGUAAAUUUCAGCUAGAGGACUUCCCAGCAGCCUUGCCAAACCUUCCUUAGAACUGUUCAGCUGUCUAGGAUACUUCUGUACAACUUUCCUUCCUUCUUCCUCUCCUUAACUCUGGGUCAGACUUUCGUGUUGGUCUGAUGGCUUUCCUGGCUCCUUCCCUCUGGUUCUCACAGGGUGUUUUCUCUAAUAAAUUUCUGCACAUUUAAUCUAAUCUUGGCAUCUGUUUCUUGGAAGACCUGGACUAACUCACACAUCUAAGGCUUUUUGUACAAUGUGUAUCAAUGAACUGUAUAUGAGUGCAUUGUUGGGAUGAGAGAAUUAGGUACGUGGAGCUUGAAAAGAUAAAUUUCUGUGCUUUAGAAUUAAAUGGGAGUCACUGCAGGUAAUGUAAACCAAAGACAAAUAAAAAAAAAAUCAAAGAGACAUGGAAAUAAUAGCUAACACUUACUGAAUGCCAGAAAUUUUCUGAAGCAUUUUAUAUACAUUAUCUUAUUUGAUUCUUAGUACAAUCCUACUACCACUACAGAUGAAGAAACUGAGGCUUUGAGAGAUUAAAUAAUUUACAUGAAGUCUCACAGCUAGUAAGCCCAGUAUGUGGUGCAACUUAAAUACUUACAUUUAAAUACAAUCAAUCUGACUUCUACAUUCUUCUACACUGUAUCCACAAUUUUUUAAAGUAGUAGUCUUUACUUAUUUAAUUACACUUAUAUUUUCUAAUAUGAUAAUCAAUAACAAGUAUAAACUAAUAUGUAUAUUCCAAGAAAGUGACCUAAAAGGAUUAAUUCUAUGUAUUUAUCAUUUUAUGACACAAAUGUGCAUUUGUGAAUGAACAUAAAGUUAAUUAGUAUGGAAUUAUAGCACUAAAAUAUCUACUUCUUAAAGAGCUAACAUAAACGGCACAACAUUAUACUCAUUUUUUUCCUUCUAAUUGGGUGGCUCUUGAAUUGAAGCACAAAAACUCUAAAACUUCCCACCAUGUGGAAAUGAGCCUCCCUUUGGAAAUUCCUGGGCAACUCAACUCCCAAGAGCUUACUAUGCUUUAUCCCUUUUAUGAUAUGCUUCUAAUAAUUAUGUGUAAUGUUCACCCUGAAUAUGUUGUUUUACAUUUAACAUUUCAAAACCAUCUUCAGUAUAUUAAUUUAUGAGGUCAUUAGUGGAUUGGUUGGAAAAAUCUCGAAUGAGCUAUACUUUUUAAUUGAUAAAUAACUUCCUGAAAAGAAUGAUUUGCUUACUGCUAACAUCAAAUUGCCUAGUACUUCAUCAAAUUGAGAGAUGGCAAAGUUUGGAUUGGCAAAGUUUUUAAUAAUGAGAAUUGGAGUCCUAAAUCCUACCAAUAAUCAGUUUUAGGAACAAAAUAAAGAAUUUGCUGGUGAAAAAUAAGUAUCAAUAUUAGUUUUGCCCUUUUUCAAAAUGUUAACAUUACUAAACACCAUUUUAAAUUCAGUUACUGCAAAUUUAGGCCUGUUACCUAAUUUUUAUUAAAAUAAAAAAAAUCUCAGAGGCCUUUUACUGUAUCACUAUAAUAAAAGCUAACUUUACCAUCCCAGCUAAAAACAGUGAAACCCCGUCUCUACUAAAAAUACAAAAAAUUAGCCGGGCGUAGUGGCGGGCGCCUGUAGUCCCAGCUACUUGGGAGGCUGAGGCGGGAGAAUGGCGUGAACCCGGGAGGCGGAGCUUGCAGUGAGCCGAGAUCCCGCCACUGCACUCCAGCCUGGGCGACAGAGCGAGACUCCGUCUCAAAAAAAAAAAAAAAAAAAGCUAACUUUAAAUGUUUAGUUAACAUAAGCUAUUACUGUUGAAAUGAUUUUCAUUAUUGUAAAGUCAAUUAAUAAAUCAGUUAAAAUGAUCCAUGUAAAUUAGUCUCUUUUAAGGUAAUCACACUGACCUAUUUAACCUUUAUAAAAAAUAUCUUUAUACUAAGACUGUCUUGGAAUCAUUAAAUCAAUAAGUGGAAAGAUCCUUUCCAUUUUUCCUACAGAGAGGGAAUGUGGUAUUUAGAAACAAAUAUAUAUAUAGCAAGACAUUUUUGUGUUUUUUUAAAUGCAUAUUUACCAGUAGAGGUCACUAUCACACCAAUUCACUGGAUUUGUCCAGCUACUGCUAAAAGAAAUUAGAGGGCCUGGCUGAAUUUAUAAGAAAAAAAUCAAAAGCCAAUACCUAAAAUAUAAUACACAGGGAUAUGCUGCUGCACAAAUAUUAAAAGAUAAUGUAGAUAAUUCAUCAUUUUGGACUUUUAAUAUGAUUAUCAUACUGAUGUUCCUAUUGUCCCAUGGAGGUAAAGGUAAAUAUAUAAACAGAGAUGCCUAUAUUUCUAUUUAUGUAUAGGAACUCAUUAUUUAUGCAAGCCAAAAAGUAAAAUAUUCAAAUAUUUACAUAUGUCCUACCUAGAAACUUUCUAAAAUCUUCUUUCCAAAAAGGAAAAAAGAUAUUACAGCAUCAUAAAAUUAAAAUAAUAUAUAUUAAUGUGCACAUUUUCAGACAUUUCAAAAGGAUUCAAUACUAACUAAAACAAUGUCAAAUCUGCUAGAAAAUGCAAUGGCACAGGAGCUUAGGACAGAAUAGGUGUGGAGACGGGAUAUAAUCUUCAAUGCAUGAUCAGCAAAGCCAAGAAGGAAAUAAAGGUCAGCAAUUCAAUUAUGACCAUGUGAACCCCAAAUUCCAGGACAUCAGAAAACUCUCUGGUUAGACAAUCCAUGGUUUAUCUCCCUUGACUACUCACUUCAUGCCCAAGUCAGCAGUCAAGGCUUAAAGUCAGGUCUACCUUCUGAGUCAAAUGAAUUCCCCAUCUGCCUCCAAGUUACACCCCACCCUUUGCUAAUUCCUAAAAUCCUUUAAUAGGAGAAAAGGCCCUUCCUUGUACCACAUUGUCAAAAUAAUAGUCUAGUAAUGAGUUUUGAUUUAAAUAUAAAUACUUAACAAAGUAACAACUUUAAGUCACUGUGGUCAAUAGUCUCUCCAUCUUGAUGGAGGACGACUUAGGACCGUAAAUGUGAGAAAAGACAAGAGACAAUAAAAUAAUCUGUAGCUUAUAUUUCUUAAAUCAAACUGGUCAUGAAAUAACUAUUUAGCCAAUAUUAUAUCAUGUGAUAAAGACAAGUAGAGAAUACGU
rnacentral:lncRNA from 1 species